rnacentral:rRNA from 1 species
GACGAACCGUGCGAACGUUUGUUCGGAUUCACUGGGCUUAAAGGGCGCGUAGGCGGCUUGCCAAGUCAGGGGUGAAAUCUUUCGGCUCAACCGGAAAAGUGCCUUUGAUACUGGCGAGCUAGAGGGAGGUAGGGGUGCGUGGAACUUCUGGUGGAGCGGUGAAAUGCGUAGAUAUCAGAAGGAACGCCGGUGGCGAAAGCGACGCACUGGAUCUCUACUGACGCUGAGGCGCGAAAGCUAGGGGAGCGAACGGG